rnacentral:rRNA from 1 species
AUUGAACGCUGGCGGCAUGCUUUACACAUGCAAGUCGAACGGUAACAGGCCGCAAGGUGCUGACGAGUGGCGAACGGGUGAGUAAUGCAUCGGAACGUGCCCAGUCGUGGGGGAUAACUACUCGAAAGAGUAGCUAAUACCGCAUACGAUCUAUGGAUGAAAGCGGGGGACCGUAAGGCCUCGCGCGAUUGGAGCGGCCGAUGUCAGAUUAGGUAGGUGGUGGGGUAAAGGCUCACCAAGCCAACGAUCUGUAGCUGGUCUGAGAGGACGACCAGCCACACUGGGACUGAGACACGGCCCAGACUCCUACGGGAGGCAGCAGUGGGGAAUUUUGGACAAUGGGCGCAAGCCUGAUCCAGCAAUGCCGCGUGCAGGAAGAAGGCCUUCGGGUUGUAAACUGCUUUUGUACGGAACGAAACGGCUCUGGUUAAUACCCGGGGCUAAUGACGGUACCGUAAGAAUAAGCACCGGCUAACUACGUG